GACGAACGCUGGCGGCGUGCUUAACACAUGCAAGUCGAGCGGUAAGGCCCUUUCGGGGGUACACGAGCGGCGAACGGGUGAGUAACACGUGGGUGACCUGCCCUCAGCUCUGGGAUAAGCCUGGGAAACUGGGUCUAAUACUGGAUAUGACUCCACGGUGCAUGUCGUGGGGUGGAAAGCCUUGUGCGGCUGAGGAUGGGCCCGCGGCCUAUCAGCUUGUUGGUGGGGUGAUGGCCUACCAAGGCGACGACGGGUAGCCGGCCUGAGAGGGCGACCGGCCACACUGGGACGUGAGAC
rnacentral:rRNA from 1 species